rnacentral:misc_RNA from 1 species
GAUGAAGAACGUAGCAAAAUGCGAUAAGUAAUGUGAAUUGCAGAAUUCAGUGAAUCAUCGAAUCUUUGAACGCACAUUGCGCCCGCCAGUAUUCUGGCGGGCAUGCCUGUUCGAGCGUCAUUUCAACCCUCAAGCCCAGCUUGGUGUUGGGACUCGCGGUAACCCGCGUUCCCCAAAUCGAUUGGCGGUCACGUCGAGCUUCCAUAGCGUAGUAAUCAUACACCUCGUUACUGGUAAUCGUCGCGGCCACGCCGUAAAACCCCAACUUCUGAAUGUUGACCUCGGAUCAGGUAGGAAUACCCGCUGAACUUAAGCAUAUCAAUAAGCGGAGGA